ensembl:lncRNA LINC01036 long intergenic non-protein coding RNA 1036
ACACUUCUGGGAUUCUGAAAUAUCUUACCAAGCACUUUAUUCAAUCUAAAUUUAAAUAGAAGUUUUCCCCACUUCCCAAGAGAGAAACAACAACGAACUAGAUGAGAAUGAGAGGAACUGGAAGAAGUAAUGAAAUCUGAGAAGCUGAAUUUAGCAAUACAGAUGCAAACUGUGCCAUCAGAAGAUUAAAAUGAAAGUGAAAUGUCCUGAAAAUAUCAGAAUCGCAUCAGUAAUAGAAGUAAAUGAAAAGUGAAGACCUCUUUGAAUUAUCUUAUUUCAUUUGACUAUGUUCCUCCUGAGUCACAAAAAAAGGAUGUUACAGCUAUUUUUCUUAAGCUGAUGGGCCAAAAGAUUGUAUUCUAGGCUCCAGGGACACAAGAGUGACCAAAACUGACAGAACAGGUCAUCAUGGAGCUUUCAAUGUGGCUGAGGAUACCUGAGGAAAAAAACAUCUGCUGUCAACCUAAACUAAACUUUGCUAUCAACCACAAUAGGAUAACACAGGGUGCUGAGAGAAUAACACAGAGGUGCUUGAGUAACAUGAGCUCCUAACUGACCACCACUAAGUAUGUGGUUCUACCAAAUGAAUAAAAUCACUGGCCAUCCUAUUAGUUUUGUCUUUGCUUAGCCUAAUGAUAGGAAACGAAUGGAACUUUGCCAUCAAACGAAUACAAGAUAAUCCCUAUUGCUUGAAUUCUUAAUUGUUUUUUGGACUACUGAUAUAUUUUACUUCAUUUGGUACCGUAGUUUACAUAUUUUAAAUAAAGUAUUAUACAUAAUAUCUUACAUAAAUAUGAAUGAUUUCAAGGUGCUACAUCCCUGGAAUUGUUAUAUUUUAAUCUGUUGAUGUUGCUAAAACCCACAGUGGUGGCAAUGUUACUAAAAUUGAAUUCAUUCUUUCACCUGAAGGUAAUGCAUAAAGAGGUAAGGCCAAAAUACUGAAC